GAGGAAUAUUGGUCAAUGGGCGCAAGCCUGAACCAGCCAUGUCGCGUGCAGGACGACUGCCCUAUGGGUUGUAAACUGCUUUUGUAUGGGAAGAAACGACGGCACGAGUGCUGUUUUGCCGGUACCAUACGAAUAAGGAUCGGCUAACUCCGUGCCAGCAGCCGCGGUAAUACGGAGGAUCCGAGCGUUAUCCGGAUUUAUUGGGUUUAAAGGGUGCGUAGGCGGGAUAUUAAGUCAGUGGUGAAAGUUUGACGCACAACGUUAAAAUUGCCAUUGAUACUGGUUUUCUUGAGUACAGUUGAGGUAGGCGGAAUGUGGUGUGUAGCGGUGAAAUGCAUAGAUAUACCACAGAACACCGACUGCGAAGGCAGCUUACUAAGUUGUAACUGACGCUGAAGCACGAAAGCAUGGGGAUCAAAC
rnacentral:rRNA from 1 species